GCCAAAUGUAACUGUGAAGUGAUGUGGAAAAGUGAGCUGGGAGCCUCCCCUGACAGCUCUUAUUGGGCUGAUCUCGGAGGCAGGUCUAGCGCUUGGAAAUUCAUCCUUUCAGGCGGUAAGCGCACAACUUUUCCACACACCGCCGAGCCCCGCGUUGCUCGGGAGCGCGCUCACCGCGCACCCGGGCAUCUCCCUUAGGCAGGGUGGGAGGGCGGGCGGCAGGCGGCACCCGGCGGCUGGGAAGCGAGGGAUGCUCGCCGAAGCCACCGGGGAGGAGCCCGCCGGGACCGGUGCGACCGAGCAGCGAGACGGAACUGGGACUUGCGCGAAGCGCCUGGAGGGAAGACCAGCCGGGGUAAAUUAUCAUCUUCAACUUAUUCACCUGAAAAUCCUUUAACAUGUGAAGAUGCACCAAGGCCUACAGAAAGUGGACCUUAACAUUCUUCUAUAUAGAAUGGAACAACACAAAGAAAAUACUGAUGGUAUCACAAAGAAAGAUGAGGAUGCUUUACUCUUGUUUUACUCCUUAGAAUUAAUGAGUUUGCAAAGAUUUUUGUUUUUUAAAUAAAGUUUCACUAAAAGUA